GGGCUGGUGGCUCAGUGAGUAGGGCGCCGGCUCCACAUACCGAAGGUAGCAGGUUUAAACCCUGCCCCGGCCA
rnacentral:tRNA from 1 species